rnacentral:rRNA from 1 species
GCCUAAAGCGUCCGUAGCCGGCUUUGUAAGUUUUCGGUUAAAUCUAUAUGCUCAACAUAUAGGCUGCCGGGAAUACUGCAAAGCUAGGGAGUGGGAGAGGUAGACGGUACUCCGUAGGAAGGGGUAAAAUCCUUUGAUCUAUGGAUGACCACCUGUGGCGAAGGCGGUCUACCAGAACACGUUCGACGGUGAGGGAUGAAAGCUGGGGGAGCAAACCGGAUUAGAUACCCGGGUAGUCCCAGCUGUAAACUAUGCAAACUCAGUGAUGCAUUGGCUUGUGGCCAGUGCAGUGCCGCAGAGAAGUCGUUAAGUUUGCCGCCUGGGGAGUACGUACGCAAGUAUGAAACUUAAAGGAAUUGGCGGGGGAGCACCACAAGGGGUGAAGCCUGCGGUUCAAUUGGAGUCAACGCCAGAAAUCUUACCCGGAGAGACAGCAGAAUGAAGGUCAAGUUGAAGCCUUUACCAGACAAGCUGAGAAGUGGUGCAUGGCCGUCGCCAGCUCGUGCCGUGAGGUGUCCUGUUAAGUCAGGUAACGAGCGAGAUCCUUGCCUCUAGUUGCUACCAUUACUCUCAGGAGUAGUGGGGCGAAUUAGCGGGACUGCCGUAGUUAAUACGGAGGAAGGAGAGGGCCACGGCAGGUCAGUAUGCCCCGAA